rnacentral:lncRNA from 1 species
UAAACUUUGUGUAUAUUGAGUAGGGACUGCUGUUUGAUUACUUGAUAAUUUCUUGGUUGACUGAGUUGAUAUUAGUUAUAUUUUUGGCUUGUUAUAAAGUGAAUUGAUUGUGAUGUGUUGUGAAGUGAAUUGAUUGUGAUGUGUUGUGAAGUGAAAUGAUUGUGAUUAAGGAUUGAUGACUUUUGUAUGGAUAUUGUGUGAUCGG